rnacentral:snRNA from 14 species
AGCUUUGCGCAGUGGCGAUAACGUGACCAAUGAGGCUCUGCCGAGGUGCGUUUAUUGCUGGCUGCUGAUGGCCUUCGUCGCAGUGACUUCCUGCCCUACUGAUGAUCCUCCAGGAGUGAUUGUAUUUUUUUUUCGAUUCUGUACAUAGG